rnacentral:rRNA from 1 species
GACGAACGCUGGCGGCGUGCUUAACACAUGCAAGUCGAACGAAUAUGCCCUGCAGUUCUGGGUUGCUCCACUCUGUGACACAAGAUUAACGCUAGCGGCGCCUGGGCUAGUCAUACGUGGGACAUCAGGCCACGAGGUCUGGAACACGACUGGAAACCGAUGUUCAUACUGGGUAAUAACAAAUUUCGGCUAUUAACUGUUUAAUAGAUGGUUCUCCUCUUGUUCUUGGGUGGAUCUGUGGCGCAUUGGCUAGCUGGUAGGGUUACUGCCUACCAAGGCGGGGAUGCAUAGCCGAGGUGAGAGACUGAUCGGCCGCAUUGGAACUGAGACACGGACCAAGCUCCUACGGGAGGCAGCAGUAGGGAAUCUUCCACAAUGGACGCAAGUCUGAUGGAGCAACGCCGCGUGAGUGAAGAAGGGUUUCGGCUCGUAAAGCUCUGUUGUUGGUGAAGAAGGACAGGGGUAGGAACUGACCUGUGUUUGACGGUAAUCAAUUAGAAAGUCACGGCUAACUACGUG